CCGGUCCCAUAUUGCCCUCCUUUCCUUCCUCGAUUUCCUCAUCCCCCUCCUCUCUCAUCUCGAUAUCAUCAUCCUCAGCAUUCUUGGUCCUCCUUCGUCGUUUGAUAGUUUCAGCAUAUCCACAUUGGUCAGCGACUUUCCUUCUCUCGCAUUGUUCACAGACCGGUCGCCGGCCAUCGCAGCGAAGCUUACGCUUUCUGCAAGGAUAGCAAGAGAUCAGUUGACGCUUCCUCUGAUGAUGAGAACUGCCGACAGGCUCGAGACCAGACCCUUCUCGUUCCCGAUAGCUGGAGGAAGAUUCUGGCGAGGAGAACGAAUAUAUUGGAGGAGGAUGCAUUUGUGGCGGAUGGAACCGUGUGCCAGCAGGUGCCUGCAGCUGCUUGUUUGGUCGAUCCGCAACAAUCUGGUAGUUAGCAGGAUGGACAGGGGCAGCGAAAUUAGGCAUGUGUGCCGGAUACGUCGGCGUCCUCUGCGGCGGAUGGACAACAGGAUUGAAGGGUCCCAGACCAAAGGGCGCAUAAGUCGAGUGAGUCGCCCUUCCCAUACUGGGGGAAAUUAUAGCGCCUUGCGAAAGCGGUUCAGGCUGGUUUAUACCAUGUGGUCUCAUUCGCGGGACUAGCCUCUGAGUCGGCGAUUGUGGUUGUGUGACAGCCCGAGGCGGAGGAGGGGGUCUGUAAGCAGCGCUGAAACUAAGGUUUUGAGAUGAUUCGGCAGUUGUAGCUGGAGUCCUGGUCUUGGAAUGUUCCUGAUGCUGUUCAUCAAUUGGGACUUCCAUGGCCAUUGCGUGUCCUACUUUACAUCAGCUAUUUCAUGUUGAUGGAUUCUUUAUCCAGGUCAUACCUUCUUGAAACAUAUUCACUCUAACGUCACCCCUCCCAAAUUUAACAUCCCGCAUAGCCGAAUCAUAACCCAUCCAAUAUGCUUUCAUAUUAUCGGGAGUCCACUGCAUAUCAAAGGCCCUUCCCGAUGCACCCUCGUCACCGGUGCCCUCGAUGGAAAGCCUCGCUAAAAGAGGUUCAUCAAUACUAACAACCUUGUGAACCACAAGGCAAGACCUGGCCGUUUAUUCAUCAACUUACCAUCGACACUUGGCCCUGGAGCAUCUGCCACUUUACAAUCAGUUUCGCCAGUCAUCCUCUGAUUCAUCGGACUCCCUCAUAGACAAGCGGCUCACCAUUGUCAGUAUUACUGCCCUUUGGAGGAAACAUCUCAGUCGAUUGAUGCUUCGCCUUCUUCUUCCCUGGGCGACUCCCACCUGGCUCAAAUCUAUCACCCUUUCCUUUCUCGCCUUUGGUAGAAAGUGUCCUUUCUUUCGGUACACAGUCAGCCCACCGUUAUUCUCGGUAGUAUUGAACUAUCACGUGGCUUACCUGCGCGAUUCCCUUUGGUGGCAGAAAGGGACUGUUCUCCAGAACGCUUUACAGGAUCAGAUAGAGAAGGGCUUGGUAUACCAAGGCGUUGCUGCCUAUCGAGUGAAGGUCUAGGCGAUCGAACAGUUUGCUCAUCAACAAGAACUUGCGCGGGCAAUUCAGGGCUGGGAGGAUAGUGAUGAACGUCUUCACUUCUUCGCCGUGGUUUAGGCGAUCUCUGGGGUUGAGAGGAGGGACCGGCUAUUGACUGACCAAAGGAUGAACUGGCUGAUCGAGGAACAUUGGGAAAAGGUGAUGGACUGACGCCAUGUGAAGUUAGAAAGUUAUUCUUAACAAUCAGAUACGCCCAGUAUUUGCCACUUACAGGCUACGAAAAUCGGACACCAAAGAAGAAAGCUUGGGCUUUAUUGGCCCACUUCGAGAUGUCUCCGUCGGCUUCCAGUCAGAUAUGGGAGGUAAAUAUGGUGGCCUCAUGUCAACAAGCCCUCCCCCGAAAGAAGAUAAUGAGGAUUGAGCAGUAGAGCGAAGUGCUGAAGAAGGACGUUCAGUCAGAAAGUCUGUAACAUUGUGUGGUGAUCUAGACUGCAUUUCUCUCUCGCGUAUAUUGCUUUCCAGUUCACCUGUGUGUGUAUUGCGACGACUCCUUGCCUUAUCUCCGCCAUAUUUUGAUCCACCUGGAGAGCUAGUACGCGAUCGCCCAAAUCUAUUAAUACGGCCAAAAGGAGAAGGGCUUCUGGAUCGUUUUCUGGUAGGGCUUGUAGGAAGUUGUUGACGAAGUAAGAGCAAUCCCUCUAUGGGCUGCUGAUGAGGAGAGGGUUCGGACCGUCCCAAUUCUGUUGCCGUUACAAUUCUUGCUGAAGAAGUAGAUUGCUGUUGGGCGUCGGGUGUCUGUAGGGGGCGCACAACGUAAUGAGUGGACAGAUUUUGCUCAGCUGAUGAAGGCACCAGCGGUUGAGCUUCGUGGGCAGUAGUACUGGCCUCUGGAGAAGAGGGAUUCCUUGUUUGUUCAGGAAUAGGAGGAUCCUCAUACCUAGAGACUGAAUGCGCCCUGCCCGCGGGACGUCCGUGUUCAGAUCGAUCUUUUUCGGGAGAACGCAGUUCUUCCCUUCCCUUCUCUGAAUAAUCACUUUCCAGAAGCAUAAUUGGGACCGAUAAUAGGAUUUUUGGGUAUUACUG
rnacentral:sRNA from 1 species